rnacentral:rRNA from 1 species
UUUUCCGCAAUGGGCGAAAGCCUGACGGAGCAAGACCGCGUGGGGGAAGAAGGCUCUUGGGUUGUAAACCCCUUUUCUCUGGGAAGAACACAAUGACGGUACCAGAGGAAUCAGCAUCGGCUAACUCCGUGCCAGCAGCCGCGGUAAGACGGAGGAUGCAAGCGUUAUCCGGAAUGAUUGGGCGUAAAGCGUCCGCAGGUGGCAGUUCAAGUCUGCUGUCAAAGACCGGGGCUUAACCUCGGAAAGGCAGUGGAAACUGAACAGCUAGAGUAUGGUAGGGGCAAAGGGAAUUCCUGGUGUAGCGGUGAAAUGCGUAGAGAUCAGGAAGAACAUCGGUGGCGAAGGCGCUUUGCUGGACCAUAACUGACACUCAGGGACGAAAGCUAGGGGAGCGAAWGGAUUAGAA